GAUGAAGAACGUAGCGAAAUGCGAUACGUAAUGUGAAUUGCAGAAUUCAGUGAAUCAUCGAAUCUUUGAACGCAUAUUGCGCUCUCUGGUAUUCCGGAGAGCAUGCUUGUUUGAGUAUCAGUAAACACCUCAACUUCCAUAUCUUUUUUGAAAUGGGAGUUGGACUUGAGUGAUCCCAACGCUUUUCCUCACCGAAAAGUGGCGGGUUACUUGAAAUGCAGGUGCAGCUGGACUUUUCUCUGAGCUAUAAGCAUAUCUAUUUAGUCUGCCUAAAAAACAGAUUAUUACCUUUGCUGCAGCUAACAUAAAGGAGAUUAGUUCUUGUGCUGACUGAUGCAGGAUUCACAAAGACAGGCUUCGGCCGACUUUGUAAACUCGAUCUCAAAUCAAGUAAGACUACCCGCUGAACUUAAGCAUAUAAAUAAGCGGAGGA
rnacentral:misc_RNA from 1 species